AGUUUGAUCCUGGCUCAGAACGAACGCUGGCGGCGUGGAUAAGACAUGCAAGUCGAACGAGAGAAUUGCUAGCUUGCUAAUAAUUCUCUAGUGGCGCACGGGUGAGUAACACGUGAGUAACCUGCCCCCGAGAGCGGGAUAGCCCUGGGAAACUGGGAUUAAUACCGCAUAGUAUCGAAAGAUUAAAGCAGCAAUGCGCUUGGGGAUGGGCUCGCGGCCUAUUAGUUAGUUGGUGAGGUAACGGCUCACCAAGGCGAUGACGGGUAGCCGGUCUGAGAGGAUGUCCGGCCACACUGGAACUGAGACACGGUCCAGACACCUACGGGUGGCAGCAGUCGAGAAUCAUUCACAAUGGGGGAAACCCUGAUGGUGCGACGCCGCGUGGGGGAAUGAAGGUCUUCGGAUUGUAAACCCCUGUCAUGUGGGAGCAAAUUAAAAAGAUAGUACCACAAGAGGAAGGGACGGCUAACUCUGUGCCAGCAGCCGCGGUAAUACAGAGGUCUCAAGCGUUGUUCGGAAUCACUGGGCGUAAAGCGUGCGUAGGCUGUUUCGUAAGUCGUGUGUGAAAGGCGCGGGCUCAACCCGCGGACGGCACAUGAUACUGCGAGACUAGAGUAAUGGAGGGGGAACCGGAAUUCUCGGUGUAGCAGUGAAAUGCGUAGAUAUCGAGAGGAACACUCGUGGCGAAGGCGGGUUCCUGGACAUUAACUGACGCUGAGGCACGAAGGCCAGGGGAGCGAAAGGGAUUAGAUACCCCUGUAGUCCUGGCAGUAAACGGUGCACGCUUGGUGUGCGGGGAAUCGACCCCCUGCGUGCCGGAGCUAACGCGUUAAGCGUGCCGCCUGGGGAGUACGGUCGCAAGAUUAAAACUCAAAGAAAUUGACGGGGACCCGCACAAGCGGUGGAGUAUGUGGCUUAAUUCGAUGCAACGCGAAGAACCUUACCUGGGCUUGACAUGUAAUGAACAACAUGUGAAAGCAUGCGACUCUUCGGAGGCGUUACACAGGUGCUGCAUGGCCGUCGUCAGCUCGUGUCGUGAGAUGUUUGGUUAAGUCCAGCAACGAGCGCAACCCCUGUUGCCAGUUACCAGCACGUGAAGGUGGGGACUCUGGCGAGACUGCUCAGAUCAACUGGGAGGAAGGUGGGGACGACGUCAGGUCAGUAUGGCCCUUAUGCCCAGGGCUGCACACGUACUACAAUGCCCAGUACAGAGGGGGCCGAAGCCGCGAGGCGGAGGAAAUCCUAAAAACUGGGCCCAGUUCGGACUGUAGGCUGCAACCCGCCUACACGAAGCCGGAAUCGCUAGUAAUGGCGCAUCAGCUACGGCGCCGUGAAUACGUUCCCGGGUCUUGCACUCACCGCCCGUCA
rnacentral:rRNA from 1 species